rnacentral:rRNA from 8 species
UUAAGUUAGAAAGGGCGCACGGUGAAUGCCUUGGCACUAGGAGCCGAUGAAGGACGGGACUAACACCGAUAUGCUUCGGGGAGCUGUAAGUGAGCUUUGAUCCGGAGAUUUCCGAAUGGGGAAACCCACUGUUCGUAAUGGAACAGUAUCUUUAUCUGAAUACAUAGGAUAUUGAAGGCAGACCCGGGGAACUGAAACAUCUAAGUACCCGGAGGAAGAGAAAGCAAAUGCGAUUUCCUGAGUAGCGGCGAGCGAAACGGAAUUAGCCCAAACCAAGAGGCUUGCCUCUUGGGGUUGUAGGACACUCUAUACGGAGUUACAAAGGAACGAAGUAAAUGAAGCGACCUGGAAAGGUCCGUCGAAGAAGGUAACAACCCUGUAGUUGAAACUUCGUUCCCUCUUGAGUGGAUCCUGAGUACGGCGGAACACGUGAAAUUCCGUCGGAAGCUGGGAGGACCAUCUCCCAAGGCUAAAUACUACCUAGUGACCGAUAGUGAACCAGUACCGUGAGGGAAAGGUGAAAAGCACCCCGGAAGGGGAGUGAAAGAGAUCCUGAAACCGUGUGCCUACAAGUAGUCAGAGCCCGUUAACGGGUGAUGGCGUGCCUUUUGUAGAAUGAACCGGCGAGUUACGAUCCCAUGCAAGGUUAAGCUGAUAAGGCGGAGCCGUAGCGAAAGCGAGUCUGAAUAGGGCGUUUAGUAUGUGGUUGUAGACCCGAAACCAGGUGAUCUACCCAUGUCCAGGGUGAAGUUCAGGUAACACUGAAUGGAGGCCCGAACCCACGCACGUUGAAAAGUGCGGGGAUGAGGUGUGGGUAGCGGAGAAAUUCCAAUCGAACCUGGAGAUAGCUGGUUCUCUCCGAAAUAGCUUUAGGGCUAGCCUCAUGUUGUGAGAGUCUUGGAGGUAGAGCACUGAUUGGACUAGGGGCCCCCAACGGGUUACCGAAUUCAGUCAAACUCCGAAUGCCAAAGACUUAUCCAUGGGAGUCAGACUGCGAGUGAUAAGAUCCGUAGUCAAAAGGGAAACAGCCCAGACCACCAGCUAAGGUCCCCAAGUAUACGUUAAGUGGAAAAGGAUGUGGAGUUGCUUAGACAACCAGGAUGUUGGCUUAGAAGCAGCCACCAUUUAAAGAGUGCGUAAUAGCUCACUGGUCGAGUGACUCUGCGCCGAAAAUGUACCGGGGCUAAACGUAUCACCGAAGCUGUGGAUUGACAUCUUUGAUGUCAGUGGUAGGAGAGCGUUCUAAGUGCUGUGAAGUCAGACCGUAAGGACUGGUGGAGCGCUUAGAAGUGAGAAUGCCGGUAUGAGUAGCGAAAGACAAGUGAGAAUCUUGUCCACCGAAUGCCUAAGGUUUCCUGAGGAAGGCUCGUCCGCUCAGGGUUAGUCGGGACCUAAGCCGAGGCUGAAAAGCGUAGGCGAUGGCCAACAGGUUGAUAUUCCUGUACCACCUCCCCGCCGUUUGAGUAAUGGGGGGACGCAGUAGGAUAGGGUAAGCGCGCUGCUGGAUAUGCGCGUUCAAGCAGUUAGGCUGAUGAGUAGGCAAAUCCGCUCAUCAUAAAGGCUGAGCUGUGAUGACGAGGGAAUUAUAGUACCGAAGUUCCUGAUUCCACACUGCCAAGAAAAGCCUCUAGCGAGGCGGGAGGUGCCCGUACCGCAAACCGACACAGGUAGGCGAGGAGAGAAUCCUAAGGUGAUCGAGAGAACUCUCGUUAAGGAACUCGGCAAAAUGACCCCGUAACUUCGGGAGAAGGGGUGCUCUGGUAGGGUGUAUAGCCCGAGAGAGCCGCAGUGAAUAGGCCCAGGCGACUGUUUAGCAAAAACACAGGUCUCUGCGAAGCCGCAAGGCGAAGUAUAGGGGCUGACGCCUGCCCGGUGCUGGAAGGUUAAGAGGAGGGGUUAUCCUUUGGGAGAAGCUCUGAAUCGAAGCCCCAGUAAACGGCGGCCGUAACUAUAACGGUCCUAAGGUAGCGAAAUUCCUUGUCGGGUAAGUUCCGACCCGCACGAAAGGCGUAACGAUCUGGGCACUGUCUCAACGAGAGACUCGGUGAAAUUAUAGUACCUGUGAAGAUGCAGGUUACCCGCGACAGGACGGAAAGACCCCGUGGAGCUUUACUGUAGCCUGAUAUUGAAUUUUGGUACAGCUUGUACAGGAUAGGUAGGAGCCUGAGAAGCCGGAGCGCUAGCUUCGGUGGAGGCGUCGGUGGGAUACUACCCUGGCUGUAUUGAAAUUCUAACCCGCGGCCCUGAUCGGGCCGGGAGACAGUGUCAGGUGGGCAGUUUGACUGGGGCGGUCGCCUCCUAAAAUGUAACGGAGGCGCCCAAAGGUUCCCUCAGAAUGGUUGGAAAUCAUUCGUAGAGUGUAAAGGCACAAGGGAGCUUGACUGCGAGACCUACAAGUCGAGCAGGGACGAAAGUCGGGCUUAGUGAUCCGGUGGUUCCGCAUGGAAGGGCCAUCGCUCAACGGAUAAAAGCUACCCCGGGGAUAACAGGCUUAUCUCCCCCAAGAGUCCACAUCGACGGGGAGGUUUGGCACCUCGAUGUCGGCUCAUCGCAUCCUGGGGCUGUAGUCGGUCCCAAGGGUUGGGCUGUUCGCCCAUUAAAGCGGUACGCGAGCUGGGUUCAGAACGUCGUGAGACAGUUCGGUCCCUAUCCGUCGUGGGCGUAGGAAAUUUGAGAGGAGCUGUCCUUAGUACGAGAGGACCGGGAUGGACACACCGCUGGUGUACCAGUUGUCUUGCCAAAGGCAUCGCUGGGUAGCUAUGUGUGGACGGGAUAAGUGCUGAAAGCAUCUAAGCAUGAAGCCCCCCUCAAGAUGAGAUUUCCCAUAGCGCAAGCUAGUAAGAUCCCUGAAAGAUGAUCAGGUUGAUAGGUCAGAGGUGGAAGCGUGGCGACAUGUGUAGCUGACUGAUACUAAUCGAUCGAGGACUUAACCAA